GAUGAACGCUGGCGGCGUGCCUAAUACAUGCAAGUCGAGCGAACGGACGAGAAGCUUGCUUUUCUGAUGUUAGCGGCGGACGGGUGAGUAACACGUGGAUAACCUACCUAUAAGACUGGGAUAACUUCGGGAAACCGGAGCUAAUACCGGAUAAUAUUUUGAACCGCAUGGUUCAAAAGUGAAAGACGGUCUUGCUGUCACUUAUAGAUGGAUCCGCGCUGCAUUAGCUAGUUGGUAAGGUAACGGCUUACCAAGGCAACGAUGCAUAGCCGACCUGAGAGGGUGAUCGGCCACACUGGAACUGAGACACGGUCCAGACUCCUACGGGAGGCAGCAGUAGGGAAUCUUCCGCAAUGGGCGAAAGCCUGACGGAGCAACGCCGCGUGAGUGAUGAAGGUCUUCGGAUCGUAAAACUCUGUUAUUAGGGAAGAACAUAUGCGUAAGUAACUGUGCACAUCUUGACGGUACCUAAUCAGAAAGCCACGGCUAGCUACGUG
rnacentral:rRNA from 1 species